AAUAUCUGAAGUAGAGAAUGUGCUGCUACGCACCGUAAGGUCAAAAGAAAUGCAAGAUUGGCACACUUGCCUGAUAUU
rnacentral:ncRNA from 12 species